GGAGCCGUAGCGAAAGCGAGUUUUAACUGAGCGUUCAGUUACUUGACGACGACCAGAAUCCCGGCGACCAACCCAUGAGCCGGAGGAAGCGAAAGUUAAAUGUCGUGGAAGUCCGACCCCACGAGCGUUAAAAAGCUCGGGGAUGACUUGUGGGUAGUGGUGAAAUUCCAAUCGAGCCCUGGUAUAGCUGGUUCUCCCAGAAAGAGCUCUAGGGCUAGCCCACAA
rnacentral:rRNA from 1 species